rnacentral:lncRNA from 1 species
GUCCAUUCAAUAGCUGACUGUGAGCAUCCACUUCUGUGUUUGCUAGGCCCCGGCAUAGUCUCACAAGAGGAGAACUUUCAAACUUAGAUUUGCAUUCAGCUUGGUCUCUGGUGGUCCAGCAACUUCCUUAUUAUGAACCAACUCGGUGUGAGGACGAAACCAUAAACACACCUGCAAGUAUGCCUGGCUUAGAAAAGGACUCUGUCAAGCAAGAACACUUUGAUUACAAAGAAAGAAUCCUGUGUGUGGAGCCUUUACUUAGUAAUGUAUGGUAAAUAUCUUUUCUUUCCUCAUUAGGCAUUCCACACCGAGGUGUUUGUGAGCACUCUGCAGGGCUAGGCUUAUUAACCAACCUAUGUUGGGAAUGCUUGGCACGCCCAGCUCCUUUGCAGCUGGCAAGUGCUAGGUUCCUUCUUGUACGGACCAACUUCAUGAAUGAACUCCCCCAUCCUUAUGUGGUCUAUGCCAUACUGCUUGACACAGUGUAAGUCACUUUCAAGCUUACAGACGUGACAAAGAAACACACCAGGAAGCAGUAGCGCAAAGAUGAAGCCAAGGCAGGGCUGGAAUGCUCCCCACCCCCUCUUUCCUUGCAGCUGUGGGCUUGACUGGGCUGAGCACUGUCCUUAGAGUAUUUGGCUUGGAUGUCAGAGAGGGUGUGUCAGCUAACCAGGCAGCUCCAAGUCACAUCCUGCCAAGGUGUUACCAGAUGCUAAAACUUCCUGUCUCUCCCCCAACACAAGCUCUCAGUCCUCUAGACCCUGAUAAGUGGCUGGGGCAGAGAUGGAAAGUACCCUACAGUGAUCUGGGUUUCCUCGUCAUCAUUGAGUGUGCCCUCCCCUCCCCUUGUCUCCCUCCCCCAUGUCUGGGGCCAGAGGUGCCAGACAGACUCAACUAUUUGGGCAACACUUGCCUUACCUCUUUGAGAUCUUAGAAAUUAAAUUUUCUUCUCCUUAAGAUGGAAAAUAUUACACGUAUAUAUGAGAAAGGAAAAGUGCCAACGUGUUUAAGCAUGACACAGCCUUACUACACAUUUCCUACCAAGUACCAAUAUGGGUUAUAAAUGGGAAAAUCUAAAUUGGGAAGCCAACUUGUCCUGUGAUUUUCUUUAAAAUGAGAACAACAAUAGCAGCCAAAAUAUCUGUCUUAAGAAUGUUGUGGUAUGGGUGUGAUGGCUCAGUGCAUAAAGGCCUUGGCCUCAAAGCCUCAUGACGUAGCUCAGUGGGAGAAAAGAACCAACAGAUUGGUUCUCUGACCUUCCUGACCAUGCACCAUGGUGCACAGCACCUUUAUUCCAUAAACAUAAAAUAAAUAAAUAAAUAAAAAGAUCCCCCCAGGGCACUCUGAGGCUAUGAAUAAGUAUGCAGAAAAAAGAUGGAAAUGUUUUGUGAGGAAGAUGCCCCUGAAGAAAGCUGUGCUGGAAAUCUCAUCUUGGACUGCUGGACUCUUUGCUCCCGAAACUGAAGGAAGGUAGCCUGCUGGAUCAACUGCUGUGGUUGUGUGGGAAGUGGGACAGUGGGAGGAAGCUGCCCAGGUGGGGCUGCUGUCACCUUGUUGUGGCCAGCCUUAUGUGCUUCCAGAGAAUUUUCAAGGUCUGCAAAGCAUGAACAAUUCUGGACAGAUGUGGGACCUGCAAUUAAAGAGAACUAGCAGGGGUUCCCCCCCCCCCUUUUCCCUGUGUAUGUAGGAUUACUGGACCCCCUUUUUUUCUGUGUAUAUGCAGGCAUGGUGGGACCCCUCUUCUUUCUUUGUGUAUGUAGGCAUGGCAGGACACUGUGUGUACUCAGGCAUAUUGGGACCCCUUUCUCUGUGUGUAUGCAGGCAUGGUGGGGCCCCCUUUCUCUCUCUGUGCAUGCAGGCAUGGUGGAUCUCCCCUCUUCUCUCUGUAUGGAAGCAUGGCACACACAUGGAUGCCAGCAGACCGAUGUGAAUGUCAGAGGGCAACUUUAAAUCCCUUCUCUCUUUCCACUUCAGGUCAGGGAAUGAGUUCAUGCCUCAGACUUGUAUGGUAAGCACUUCACCGAUGAGCCUCUUCACCCACCCCUCCCUUUCUCUUAUCAAAAACACUGCUGCUAGGACGGGUGGGAUGGCGCAGCAGGCAAAAGCACUUGCCACCAAGCCUGAUGACCUGAGUUUCAUCCCUGUAGUCACAUGGUGAACGUCUGAGAAAUGUUGUUUUCUAUUAGAGGUAGGUAGCCCAUCAAAGACCAAUAUCCAAAAUUUCCCCCACUUUCAACCUCCUCAACCUGGCAAAACUGUGUAUCCCAAGGACCCCUCUGGCAUAUUAUAGGGACAUGAUGGCAUGAAACACACACUUUCUCUCCAUCCCUUCACUACCUUUGUGCUGAUUACUUCAAAACUUCAAAUCCAGAAAGACUACGAGAUCAGCCAAUGGGGGGAAAAGGCGUAAUUACAAUCUGCAUUAGAAAAAGAGAAAAACAAAACCAUCAAAUUAUUUUCCUGGCACCCCAACCCCACCUCACACUGUCCUGAUUUGAAUUCUGUCAAGUUCUUUUUUUCAAAAAGAAAUUGUCUUGCCAAGCUAAUUUGCUCUGUUUCUGUUUUUGUGUACACCAAGAUCCUUUUUUUUUUUUUU